rnacentral:rRNA from 1 species
AGCAGCCGCGGUAAUUCCAGCUCCAAUAGCGUAUAUUAAAGUUGUUGCAGUUAAAAAGCUCGUAGUUGAACUUCAGGCCUGGCUGGGCGGUCCGCCUCACGGCGUGUACUGUCUGGCUGGGUCUUACCUCUUGGUGAGCCGGCGUGGCCUUUAUUGGUUGCGUCGGGGAACCAGGACUUUUACCUUGAGAAAAUUAGAGUGUUCAAAGCAGGCCUACGCCUGAAUACAUUAGCAUGGAAUAAUAAAUAGGACGUGCGGUUCUAUUUUGUUGGUUUCUAGAGUCGCCGUAAUGAUUAAUAGGGAUAGUUGGGGGCAUUGGUAUUGAGUCGCUAGAGGUGAAAUUCUUGGAUUGACUCAAGACCAACUAUUGCGAAAGCAUUUGCCAAGGAUGUUUUCAUUAAUCAAGAACGAAGGUUAGGGGAUCGAAA